GCAAGAGGCAAUAACUGAGUUUCUCCUGUGACAGAUGCACCCAGUCUGCAUAUGGCAUUCAUGAAGCCCGCAACACAGGAGCUUCUGUAAUGCACUUUCCCUGUACCUGGGUCCCACAGGGCUUCAUACACCACUGAUACCAUCUUGAAAUUAGUACUUACUGUAUCUUUAAACUUUUGUUUGUGAGAUCAAGCCUGAUGGGAUACUGGGCAUGCACAAUGUUGGUUAUUCCUGGCCACCCAUUCCCAGAUAAUGUCCACAGUGACCCAGGAGGACAAAAUUCCAGUGGGCCCAAUGGUGGGAGUCCAGUGUGACUCAAGAUGAGAACAGGGUAAACAUGUGCAUCUGCAUGAGCAUAAGGAAGGGUGCUAACAGCUACCAAAGUUGCACUUUUCUUAGAACCCCAGCUGAAUUCAAUACAGAGAAAUAGCAAUUAGUGAGGACCCCAUCAUACCCUCUCCUGCAUAAGGGACACGACCUAAGCAUGACCCACCCUGUUCAUCCUGGAGUGGGUUCACCAAAGGGGGUCACCUACCCCCAUGACCUGGAACAAUGACCUUUCUGUCCUCCCAGUGCCAGGUUUGUGAAGAAGAGUGUCUACAUAAACUAUGU